rnacentral:snRNA from 1 species
GUGCUCACUUAAGCAGCAUAUAUACUAAAAAUUGGAAUGAUACAGAGAUGAUUAGCAUGGCCCCUGCAAAA